GAAAUGCGAUAAGUAAUGUGAAUUGCAGAAUUCAGUGAAUCAUCGAAUCUUUGAACGCACAUUGCGCCCCCUGGUAUUCCGGGGGGCAUGCCUGUCCGAGCGUCAUUACAACCCUCAAGCUCAGCUUGGUGUUGGGCCCCGCCGCCCCGGCGGGCCCUAAAGUCAGUGGCGGUGCCGUCCGGCUCCGAGCGUAGUAGUAAAACACUCGCAACAGGAGCCCGGCGCGGUCCACUGCCGUAAAACCCCCCAACUUUUUAUAGUUGACCUCGAAAAAAAUUGGGGGUUGCUGGCGAGC
rnacentral:misc_RNA from 1 species